UACGAAGGGGCUAGCGUUGCUCGGAAUCACUGGGCGUAAAGGGUGCGUAGGCGGGUCUUUAAGUCAGAGGUGAAAUCCUGGAGCUCAACUCCAGAACUGCCUUUGAUACUGAGGAUCUUGAGUUCGGGAGAGGUGAGUGGAACUGCGAGUGUAGAGGUGAAAUUCGUAGAUAUUCGCAAGAACACCAGUGGCGAAGGCGGCUCACUGGCCCGAUACUGACGCUGAGGCACGAAAGCGUGGGGAGCAAACAGGG
rnacentral:rRNA from 1 species